rnacentral:tRNA from 1 species
GGGAGUAAAGCUCCGUGGUAGAGCACCUUCCUAGAAUGUAGAAAGCCCUGGGUUCAGUUCCUAGUACUGGCA